UACGUAGGGUCCGAGCGUUGUCCGGAAUUACUGGGCGUAAAGAGCUCGUAGGCGGUUUGUCGCGUCGUUCGUGAAAACUCACAGCUCAACUGUGGGCGUGCGGGCGAUACGGGCAGACUGGAGUACUGCAGGGGAGACUGGAAUUCCUGGUGUAGCGGUGGAAUGCGCAGAUAUCAGGAGGAACACCGGUGGCGAAGGCGGGUCUCUGGGCAGUAACUGACGCUGAGGAGCGAAAGCGUGGGGAGCAAACAGG
rnacentral:rRNA from 1 species